AUCCUUUCGUAGUUUAUAAGCGUGAUGAUUGGGUUUCCAUGCUUAUGUGUGAGAAGUGCCAUCCUCAAACCUUGUUAUGAUGUUGGUGCAUUACUCAUCUGAUG
ensembl:snoRNA